AUUGAACGCUGGCGGCAGGCCUAACACAUGCAAGUCGAACGAGUGGCGGACGGGUGAGUAAUGUCUGGGAAACUGCCUGAUGGAGGGUGAUAACUACUGGAAACGGUAGCUAAUACCGCAUACCAUCAGAUGUGCCCAGAUGGGAUUAGCUGGUUGGUGGGGUAACGUCUCACCAAGGCGACGAUCCCUAGCUGGUCUGAGAGGAUGACCAGCCACACUGGAACUGAGACCCGGGCCAGACUCCUACGGUGGGAAACAGUGGGGAAUAUUGCAAAAUGGGCGCAAGACUGAUGCAGCCAUGCCGGGUGUAUGAAGAAGGCCUUCGGGUUGUAAAGUACUUUCAGCGGGAAGGCGUUACCCGCAGAAGAAGCACCGGCUAACUCCGUGCCAGGAGCCGCGGUAAUAC
rnacentral:rRNA from 1 species